rnacentral:lncRNA from 1 species
UUCAGCAAUAUCCCUCCCUUGAUAAGAAUAAACAACAAUGUGAGUAUACACGAACGUUCAAGUCCAUCUCUAGCCAAAGCUUGAAACAUCUGCGAAAAAUGCAAAAGCAAGGCGGAUUUUGGUAAGCAGCUAUACAAAAAAUUAUGAACUUGAAACAGCAUUCAGAUUCCGAACUGCUUUCCUCGUACCGUCAAAGAAUUGGGAUUGCAGAUCGAUGAUUCUUCGUGUUGGGGCGCGGUACUAACACUUCUAACUAGCCGAAUUAGAGUUCAUAUAUACGGCUAGCAUCAAUUCAAUCGUCGGCGACAGGGAUGGAACCAUCGAAACUAACACAACAGAGGACGCAUUCGCAAUUCAUCUUCUCAAAACCCCACACAUCGCUGCUGCAAUCAACGCCAAACAAAUUACUAACGGAGAAGUUAGGCUGUAACACAAAUGAAAGAAACGGAAAUCACCCAACGAAUUGAAGUCUGGGUUUGUCAGUUUAGGAGGCCGUUGUUAAUAUUUAGAAUGGCGCGGCCGCAGGAGAUAGAUGAGGCGGCGACGGCAUCAUCUGGUGGAGGGCCGAUCAGCCAUGCAAUGGAGUUACUUGAAUUUGAGGAAGCGCUGAUUAGGCAUGCAAUGACAUAGGAACCAACGACCAUUACCAAUGAAAGAGGCGGCGAUCGUGUCCUUGGUGGCGAUCCCUCUAGGCUAUCGGGUCUUGGUGGUGGCAACCUUCGGUGGAGAAUGGAGAUGGGUUCGUACAGAGAAGGAAGAGAUAGAUCGAGGGAGAAGAAACUUUCUUGUCUAUUUCUCUUUUCACAAACUUCAUUCAAACAAGCGUAAAAGAAGUUAACAGAGGAGUCAGCAGAGUUGGUGAGUUUUGUGGUGGAUAUGUUUUUCACAAAUAGAUGCUCAUAUUGUACUACAAAUCCAAAUUCAGGGAUUAAAGAAGCAAGAUGUGAGGAUUAACUAAACGGAUUAAUUAAAUUCUGCCACAUGACGAGGGUACCGUGUACACACAUGUAUUAUGAACCUACCUACUCAUUUGACACUACUACUGCAGAAAGAUAGGCAUAUCACACGACAUAAUGGCACUCUUCUUCAGAGAGUUCGACUACCGCUCCUAGUGGUGAUUCUUGAGUUCGAGGUCGAGAUUAGGCCACAAUUCUUGAGUUGGACUGCUUUGAAUUGGUUACAAGUCCAGGAUGAUCU